rnacentral:lncRNA from 1 species
UUGUAACUAGGGAAAUCAACUUGAGUGUGAAAUCACUCAUGUUGGAUUCAAGCUUGGAAAUGUUGGAUGCUUGGGAGAUCGGGGUCACUCAUGUGCCAAUGUAAGAGUUAGGUAUUUGAUGUGUGUGAUGUUAAAGGUCCAAGAGUGGAAUAGGCUUUUGGGUUGUUAAUAUUAUACCUUCAAUUUGUCUAACUAUCUAUCCUUUUAUUUUUUGUAACCGUGUGUUUGUGUUGUUAAUGUGGAAUUCGAAAUUAGUCUAUUGUUCAUCUUGUUCUUGUUGUGUUGCUAAUGUUUUGGUGUUACUACACCCUUGUGCCUUGUAUUCUUCUUGUUGGUAGCGAAUUCGAGAGGGGUCACCAAAAGAGGUCCUCGGUUUCUUGACUAGUAGACUAAUUUUGGUGUCUGAUUUCGCGCUUCCGUUGUCUUUCUUGUAUCAUUGAUGAUACGUGUACGAUCAUAUAGAUGGACUUAUGAGGGCGUACGUUAGACCCGAGGCUUGGUGUGUGUAAUGAAGUGCAAAGGAUCACCUAAAUGGACACCAAAAUAGUCCACUACAUACACUAAAAGGGCCAAAUCAGUCAACUACAUACACUAGAGGGGUGCCCCUUCACUAAGGGGCCUUUUGUUAAUUUUAUCUAUUAUUUGUAAUACAAUAUAAAUAGAAUAAUGUAGGGUUUCAUUAGGGAUUUUUAUGAAUAUUAUGAGUUUAUAACACUUGAAACAUUUCCCCUCUAAGGAGAGAAGACCACCAACCUGAAGUUGUAACUAGGGAAAUCAACUUGAGUAUGGAAUCGCUCAUGUUGGAUUCAAUCUUGGAAACAUUGGAUGCUUGGGAUAUCGGGGUCACUCGUGUGCCAAUGUAAGAGUUAGGUAUUUGAUGUGUGUGAUGUUAAAGGUCCAAGAGUGGAAUAGGCUUUUGGGUUGUUAAUAUUAUACCUUCAGUUUGUCUAACUAUCUAUCCUUUUAUUUCUUUGUAAUCGUGUAGUAGUGUUGAUAUUGUAACCGUGUGUUUGUGUUGUUACUGUGGAAUCCGAAAUUAGUCUAUUGUUCAUCUUGUUCUUGUUGUGUUGAUAUUGUUUUGGUGUUAUUACGCCCUUGUGCCUUGUAUUCUUCCUCGAUUUCUUAGCUAGUAGUAGCUUACCUACAUAUGAGUAUAUUGAUUCCUUACCACUUGUAGAUGAUGUACAUAUUGUGCAAGUGGAUACACUAGUUGAUCCUAUAGAUGAUAGAAUCGACUCUUCUAGUAAGAUCGAUUUGUGUCAACCUAGUGUUGAAGCUAUUGUGUUGAAUGAAAGUACAUCGUUAUGUGAAAAUUAUGUUGAUCAACUUAUGUGUAAAACUUUCCCACCACUUGAGAAUAUGUGUGAUGUGAUUAAUGAAUCUCAAGUGAGUGAAGAAUUUGAAGAUGUUGGUCAAGGACAAGGAGUGAACCCGUGAGCCUAUGUUUUUGUAACGAUUUUAAUGUUUGCUUGGCUCAUAGGGUUAAUCAUGUGCUUGACAUAUCUUUGAAAAAUAAUUUUGCUUGUAAUCCUUUGCAUGACACCCCACCCGUGCUUGACGAAUAUGGUGACUUGAAUUGUGAUCCCUUUGAUGUUAAUGGUGGUUUUGUCUACUCGAGGAUCGUAGGGAAAAUGUGUAAUUGUAUCUUUAGGGUGUUGCUAAUAUCCGUGCAUCCAUGUUUGACACACUUGUAUUUAAGUUAUGUGAACCACAACUUAAGGAUGUCAAAUUGUAUUCUUAUUUGUAGAAGGGUCCAAGGAUGUUAAAGACUUCUUGUCACCUUCAUGGGGUUGAACAAGUUGAAGUAUCUUGUGGGAAUCUUGGGAGCGUACUUCACAUCAUUUGUAGAGGGAAGCCGAGUUCUUGGGCAAACUACUUGCCUUGGAUUGGAUUGUUGCAUGGUAGUUUCCCUAUUCUCUCUAUUGGUAUGACUCCCUUGAUGGAAUGACUUCCCUCGGUAAGUGGUUGGAAAGAGAAAGGUCCUACGUGCUUGCAAUGUCCCUUUCUCUCAUUGUCUGUUCCUACUUGUGAAUACAUCUUAGAUGAGAAUUAUGUCUUUUGUGCCUUUCUUCACUACCUAUAUGCAUAUAAUGAUAUUCAUGAUGUUGUUGGUUAUGUAUCAUAUGAGAGGCGUAGUCUCAGUUUUUGUCCAUUAAUUCUUGAUGUUCAUUCGAGCCCUUUUAUUUGUGAUGUUGUACAAAAUCUUUUCAUAAUUAACACAAAGGAUCCUUGGUUGUACUUCAAGUGUGUACCACCAUGGCAUGAUAGUGCUAAUUGUUUAUUUUGUUAACCCUAACCCUCAUUCCAUGAGGAUGUGUACUUGUUUGUUUCCUCUUUAAUUUUGCAAGGUACGGAUUCGAGGUCGAAUCCUUUUCAAGAAGGGGAGGAUGAUACGAGUACGAUUACAUAGAUGGACUUAUGAGGGAGUACGUUAGACCCGAGGCUUGGUGUGUGCAAUGAAGUGAAAAUAAGCACCUAAAUGGACACCAAAACAGUCCACUACAUACACUAAAAGGGCCAAAUCAGUCCACUACAUACACUAGAGGGGUGCCCCUUCACUAAGGGGCCUUUUGGUCAUUUUACCUAUUAUUUGUAAUACACUAUAAAUAGAAUAAUGUAGGGUUUCAUUAGGGAUUUGAUGAAUAUUAUGAGUGUUUAUAACACUUGAAAUAUUUCCUCUCUAAGGAGAGAAGACCACCAACCCGAAAUUGUAACUAGGGAAAUCAACUUAAGUGUGGAAUCGCUCGUGUUGGAUUCAAGCUUGGAAACAUUGGAUGCUUGGGAGAUUGGGGUCACUCUUGUUCCAACAUAAGAGUUAGGUAUUUGAUGUGUGUGAUGUUAAAGCUCCAAGAGUGGAAUAGGCUUUUGGGUUAUUAAUAUUAUACCUUCAAUUUGUCUAACUAUCUAUCCUUUUGUUUCUUUGUA